AUUGAACGCUGGCGGAAUGCUUUACACAUGCAAGUCGAACGGCAGCACGGACUUCGGUCUGGUGGCGAGUGGCGAACGGGUGAGUAAUGUAUCGGAACGUGCCCAGUCGUGGGGGAUAACGUAGUGAAAAUUACGCUAAUACCGCAUACGAUCUAUGGAUGAAAGCGGGGGAUCGCAAGACCUCGCGCGCUUGGAGCGGCCGAUAUCAGAUUAGGUAGUUGGUGGGGUAAAGGCCCACCAAGCCAACGAUCUGUAGCUGGUCUGAGAGGACGACAAGGCACACUGGAACUGAGACACGGUCCAGACUCCUACGGGAGGCAGCAGUGGGGAAUUUUGGACAAUGGGGGAAAGCCUGAUCCAGCCAUUCCGCGUGCAGGAUGAAGGCCCUCGGGUUGUAAACUGCUUUUGUACAGAACGAAAAGGUUUCUACUAAUACUAGGAGCUCAUGACGGUACUGUAAGAAUAAGCACCGGCUAACUACGUGCCAGCCGCCGCCGUAA
rnacentral:rRNA from 1 species